UGGAAAAUUUUAAGAUUAUAGUUUAGUUAUUAAUUAUUAAUUAAAUCAUUUGAAUCAGUAAAUCAAAAUCAAUCUAUCGUAUUCCAGAUUUUGAGACUUGAGUUUGAAAGGAAUGAAUUGAUUGGUAGCUUACAGCUUGUAAAGCACUCAAAAGCAGUGAUUCCAGCUCCAGCAGCUGAUCUGAUUAGAUCUUCCAGUCAUUGGAUUCGAACCCAAUCAUGAGAUGGUCAGGUGCCUACUAUAGAUAAAAAUCCAUAAAACAAAAUGAAACUGAAAACCAAUCCAGAGAAUCUAGAUCGUCUGACCAAGUCACUUGACCGGUAUGACACAGCAGUGGCAAUGGAUUUCUCUCAUAAAAAGGUACACAUAACGAAUUACGUGUAGUAAAUUUUGCCAGAAUACUCGGUUCAGUUUUGAAAAUGAAAAUUAUGCAACUGGAAUCAGUACAUUACAUAGGGAUAUCUGACCGUAGAACCGGAUCGAGCCAUCAACUGGAAAAGAAACAGCUGAACUGGGAAAUGACAACGUUCAUCUGGUGAUUCAAAUACUUAAUGGUCGAAUUAUAGCAGAUUUGAUGG